UGGGGAAUAUUGGACAAUGGGCGAAAGCCUGAUCCAGCCAUGCCGCGUGUGUGAAGAAGGCCUUUUGGUUGUAAAGCACUUUAAGCGGGGAGGAGGGCACCUUGGUUAAUACCCAAGAAUGUCGGACGUUACCCGCAGAAUAAGCACCGGCUAACUCUGUGCCAGCAGCCGCGGUAAUACAGAGGGUGCGAGCGUUAAUCGGAAUUACUGGGCGUAAAGCGCGCGUAGGCGGCUUGUUAAGUCGGAUGUGAAAUCCCUGGGCUCAACCUAGGCAUUGCAUUCGAUACUGGCAAGCUAGAGUAUGGGAGAGGAAGGUAGAAUUCCAGGUGUAGCGGUGAAAUGCGUAGAGAUCUGGAGGAAUACCGAUGGCGAAGGCAGCCUUCUGGCCUAAUACUGACGCUGAGGUGCGAAAGCAUGGGGAGCAAACAGG
rnacentral:rRNA from 1 species